CCUAGUAACUGCGAGUGAAGCGGGAAAAGCUCAAAUUUAAAAUCUGGUAGCCUCUAGGUUAUCCGAGUUGUAAUCUAGAGAAGCGUUGUCCGCGCUGGACCGUGUACAAGUCUCCUGGAAUGGAGCAUCAUAGAGGGUGAGAAUCCCGUCUUUGACACGGACUACCAGGGCUUUGUGAUGCGCUCUCAAAGAGUCGAGUUGUUUGGGAAUGCAGCUCUAAAUGGGUGGUAAAUUCCAUCUAAAGCUAAAUAUUGGCGAGAGACCGAUAGCGAACAAGUACCGUGAGGGAAAGAUGAAAAGAACUUUGGAAAGAGAGUUAAACAGUACGUGAAAUUGUUGAAAGGGAAACGCUUGAAGUCAGUCGCGUUGUUCUGGGAUCAGCCUUGCUAUCUUGCUUGGUUUACUCCCUGGGCAAUGGGUCAGCAUCAAUUUUGACUGGUGGACAAAGGCCAGGGGAAUGUGGCAUCUUCGGAUGUGUUAAAGCCCUUGGUUGCAUACAUUGGUUGGGAUUGAGGAACUCAGCACGCCGAAAGGCCGGGUUUAUUUAAACCACGUUCGUGCUUAGGAUGCUGGCAUAAUGGCUUUAAUCGACCCGUCUUGAAACACGGACCAAGGAGUCUAACAUGCCUGCGAGUGUUUGGGUGGCAAACCCGAGCGCGUAAUGAAAGUGAUAAGUUGAGAUCCCUGUCGUGGGGAGCAUUGACGCCCAGACCAGACCUUUUGUGACGGAUCUGCGGUAGAGCAUGUAUGUUGGGACCCGAAAGAUGGUGAACUAUGCCUGAAUAGGGUGAAGCCAGAGGAAACUCUGGUGGAGGCUCGUAGCGAUUCUGACGUGCAAAUCGAUCGUCGAAUUUGGGUAUAGG
rnacentral:rRNA from 1 species